GCCUUCCCCCGCGGGGCCGGGCCGAAACCCCGCGGGGGGGGGGGGGUCGCGAUGGCGGCGUGGGCCCCGUUAUCGCCGACAUUGUCCUUGGCGCGGGGCCGGCGACGACCUUGUUGGUGGGCAAGGAGGUAAUUUGGCGGGAACUUUUUCAAACGCCGUGACGUCGCCCCGGCGGGCCCCCGAGGCAUUGUGGGAGUUGUAGUCCCGCCGGAAAAGGGGCCCGCCAUCGAGCCCUCAGGGGAUGGCGCCGCCUUCUCACCUACCUUCUCUCCCCCUUUUUUUUUUUUUGUUGUUGUUGUUUUUUUGUUUGUUUGUUUGUUUGUUUUUAACAGGCUCCAGCGGAAGGGGAGGCGAAGGAGGAGCCAAAGAGAAGGUCAGCUAGACUAUCCGCUAAACCUGCUCCGCCUAAACCGGAGCCAAAGCCCAAAAAGGCAGCACCUAAGAAAGAAAAGGCAGCAAAUGAUAAAAAGGAGGACAAAAAGGCAGCAACAAAAGGGAAGAAAGGAGCCAAAGGCAAAGAUGAAACUAAACAAGAGGAUGCUAAAGAAGAAAACCACUCUGAAAACGGAGAUACCAAAACUAAUGAGGCACCAGCUGCUGAAGCAUCUGAUGAUAAGGAAGCCAAGUCCGAGUAAUGUUAACAGAGAGGAAUAUUUUUAUCAACUAUUUUAUAAAUGCAGGUUUUUUUAGCAUGAAUUUAAUUAUGGAACAUCUUCAUCUCGGUUACUUGGGAAUUAAAUCCCUAACAAACAAAACAAAACAAAAAAAAAAUCAUUGUUUUUAAAUUUUGUGAUUGUAAUAGUUUGUAUGGUACAUGGAAAGAAUAAGUGGUGGUAGCUUUUGACUUCUGUCAGUGUGUCCCUUUUUGUGUAAGUCAUGCUUACAGACUUCAGAUUUUAAUUUUUCCCUUGUAUGUGUUGUAUGGUUUCUUAAAGUGGGGAGGUCUCAAAACAAAUAACCGUGUUAAACAUUCCAGUGGUUCUGUGGGUUGCUUUUAUAAAGAAGGUGAGCUAUUUUCAUGAAAAACCUAAGAGCUGGAAAUCUGUUGUUUCCCAAAUGUAAUUUUAUUUUGUCAGUUUUGAAAAAUAAAUAAAU
rnacentral:lncRNA from 1 species